rnacentral:rRNA from 1 species
AGCAGUCGCCGCGGGAAAACGAAGGGUGCAAGCGUUACUCGGAAUUACUGGGCGUAAAGCGUGCGUAGGUGGUGGUUUAAGUCCGUUGUGAAAGCCCUGGGCUCAACCUGGGAAUUGCAGUGGAUACUGGGUCACUAGAGUGUGGUAGAGGAUAGUGGAAUUUCCGGUGUAGCAGUGAAAUGCGUAGAGAUCGGAAGGAACAUCUGUGGCGAAGGCGACUAUCUGGGCCAACACUGACACUGAGGCACGAAAGCGUGGGGAGCAAACAGGAUUAGAUACCCCUGUAGUCCCUGUCUCUUAUAC